rnacentral:rRNA from 1 species
UCCGAAGGGUGCAAGCGUUACUCGGAAUUACUGGGCGUAAAGCGUGCGUAGGUGGUUCGUUAAGUCUGAUGUGAAAGCCCUGGGCUCAACCUGGGAAUGGCAUUGGAUACUGGCGACCUAGAGUGCGGUAGAGGGGUGUGGAAUUCCCGGUGUAGCAGUGAAAUGCGUAGAUAUCGGGAGGAACAUCUGUGGCGAAGGCGACACCCUGGACCAGCACUGACACUGAGGCACGAAAGCGUGGGGAGCAAACAGG